ACACACUCAAAAAAUUCUUGUGAGUUCCAGGGAGCUGAGUUGAAGGAUCCACAGAAUGCUGAGAGGAGACAGAGAUGAAGAGUGACAACGAAACACCCACUGGUCUUGGGCCAUCCAGUUGAUUCUUAUGAGACAUGAAGCCACCGACAACUGUGACGGAAGUUGAGCAAACUUCCACCUGACUUGACUUCUAAUUCGAUUUAUUUCUGUGUCCUGUGUGGAGUCGACGUGUCUGUAUUGGCCAAGGAGCCUAAAUGAAAUUGUGUACUGCUGUCCACUGUGGUUUGUUGCUGCUCUCUUCACAACAGCCAAGAAAUGAAGACAGCCAAGAUGCCCAUCAGCUGGUGAAUGGAUUUUAAAAUAUGUAGAGCAUUUGCAAAAUGAAAU